rnacentral:rRNA from 1 species
GACGAACGCUGGCGGUGUGCUUAACACAUGCAAGUCGAACGGAAAGGCCCUGCUUUUGUGGGGGGCUCGAGUGGCGAACGGGUGAGUAACACGUGAGUAACCUGCCCUUGACUUUGGGAUAACUUCAGGAAACUGGGGCUAAUACCGGAUAGGAGCUCCUGCUGCAUGGUGGGGGUUGGACAGUUUCGGCGGUUGGGGAUGGACUCGCGGCUUAUCAGCUUGUUGGGGGGGUAGUGGCUUAGCAGGGCUUUGGCGGGUAGCCGGCCUGGGAGGGUGACCGGCCACAUUGGGACUGCGAUACGGCCCAGACUCCUACGGGAGGCAGCGGUGGGGAAUAUUGCACAAUGGGCGGAAGCCUGAUGCAGCAACGCCGCGUGCGGGAUGACGGCCUUCGGGUUGUAAACCGCUUUCGCCUGUGACGAAGCGUGAGUGACGGUAAUGGGUAAAGAAGCACCGGCUAACUACGUG